CUAUAUGUAGACCACAGACAGUAUUUGACAUAGUGUCUGCAUUCUACUAUAUAUAUAUAUUUUACAUAUAUAAAUGGAGGAUCUUACAUUAUUUUGUUUUAACAGAAGUAUAGAGAAGUUUUCUGUAAAAUGGAAAUGAGUAUCAUGAAGUUUUAAAUGAACAGUGUAAAACAGAAGACAUCAGCAUUCAUUAGGUCCCAGACCUCUUUGAGAAUCUGAUGAAAUUCUGGACAACCUCUCCUCCCACAAACAAGAUGUACUUGAAUACCUACACAUAAAAUGUUUCAUUCAAUUUUGGAAUGUGAAGAGAUCAUCUGAAGCCUAUCCAGAGGCCUCUAAGGUAGACUUGACUAGUGCAGUAUUGGUGGCUGCUGGGUCAGAUGAGCUCCCUGCUAUUCCAAGAAACAAUACAUGUUUGCAGCCACUAAGAUUUGGGGACUUUUGUUAUUACUGCCUAUCCUGACAGACUCAGGUGCUACGACUAUUUAA
rnacentral:lncRNA from 1 species